AUGUUGAGAGAAGCCUGGAAACCUGGAUGGGACAGCAAGAGUAAAGGCCAAAGAAUCAGCCAGAUUCUCCAGAGGCUCUUCAGGUUCUCCUCUGUCUUUCAGUCAGCAGUCUCAGUCCAUUUGCGGAGGAACAUUGGUGUUACAGCAGUGGCGUUUAAUAAGGAACUUGAUCCUGUACAGAAACUCUUUAUGUACAAGGUUAGAGAAUACAAAUCUAAGUGACAGACAUCUGGAGGAUCUGUUGAUACUGAUCCAGAGUACCAGCAAGAGCCAGAGAAGAAGCUUUUUAAGCUCAAGCAAGUGUAUGGUAAAGCAGACAUGAAUACAUUCCCUAACUUCAAAUUUGAAGAUCCCAAACUUGAAGUCAUCAAAAAACCCCAGGCCUGAAGAAAUAAAGUAAAAUUAACCUGGUAAGUUGUCAAGGGUUAGCUGUACAACUAGCUAGAAGUUUCAGAAUAAACAUACAUUCACAACUGUCAAA